rnacentral:lncRNA from 1 species
AUGCUUAUCGAGAAGUAUUAUUUCCGUUCGGGGCCCAUCUACCCUGGCCAUGGCAUGAUGUUCGUCUGCAGUGAUUGCAAGCUGUUCAGAUUUUGUCAAGCUUAGUGUUAUAAGAAACUUUAAAAAGAAGUGCAAUCCUCGCAAAGUUGGUGGACCAAAGCAUUUCGGAAAGCAGCUGGUAAAGAUCUUACAGUGGAUAAUUCAUUUGAAUUUGCAAGACGUAGA